rnacentral:rRNA from 1 species
AAACUAAUUUAAUAUGACGGCAUUUCAUUUAAUUAGAGGAAUUUGUCCUUUAAUCGAUAAUCCACGUUAAAUUUUACUUUAAUAUAAAAUUUAUAUACCACCAUCUUAAGAAUAAAUUAAAAAAUAUUUCUCCAAAAAAUUAAUAAAAAGUUAGGUCAAGGUGUAAUUUACAUUAAAGAAUGAGAUGAAUUACAUUAAAUAUUAUUUAAGGAUUAUAAAUAAUAUAUUAAUAUAAAUAAGGAUUUAAAAGUAAUACUCUCAAUAAUAAUAAAAUAUGAUACAAAUAAUAAAUGUGUACACAUCGCCC